rnacentral:rRNA from 1 species
GACGAACGCUGGCGGCGUGCUUAACACAUGCAAGUCGAGCGGAAAGGCCCUUCGGGGUACUCGAGCGGCGAACGGGUGAGUAACACGUGAGUAACCUGCCCCAGACUUUGGGAUAACCCUCGGAAACGGGGGCUAAUACCGGAUACGACACAGCUUCGCAUGGGGUCUGUGUGGAAAGUUUUUCGGUUUGGGAUGGGCUCGCGGCCUAUCAGCUUGUUGGUGGGGUGAUGGUCUACCAAGGCGACGACGGGUAGCCGGCCUGGGAGGGCGACCGGCCACACUGGGACUGAGACACGGCCCAGACUCCUACGGGAGGCAGCAGUGGGGAAUAUUGCACAAUGGGCGGAAGCCUGAUGCAGCGACGCCGCGUGAGGGAUGACGGCCUUCGGGUUGUAAACCUCUUUCAGCAGGGACGAAGCGUAAGUGACGGUACCUGCAGAAGAAGCGCCGGCCAACUACGUG